rnacentral:snRNA from 1 species
GUGCUCACUGUGGCAGCACAUAUAAUAUACAGAGAUGGUUAGCAUGGUCCCUGUGCAAGGAUGACAUGCAGAUUCAGGAAGUGUUCCAUAGUUCU